rnacentral:rRNA from 1 species
UACGGGGGGAGCAAGCGUUGUUCGGAUUUACUGGGCGUAAAGGGCGCGUAGGCGGCCACCUCAAGUCGAACGUGAAAUCCCCGGGCUCAACCCGGGAACUGCGUCCGAUACUGGAAGGCUUGAAUCCGGGAGAGGGAUGUGGAAUUCCAGGUGUAGCGGUGAAAUGCGUAGAUAUCUGGAGGAACACCGGUGGCGAAGGCGACAUCCUGGACCGGUAUUGACGCUGAGGCGCGAAAGCCAGGGGAGCAAACGGG